GGAUACUCUUAGCUGAUCUAUCUACUGUUGAUGCCAAACUGCUCCUCAACCAUUGCUGUUGAUGCCCUACCAUAGCUGCUCAUGCCAAGCUACUACCUUAACCACUGCUAUUGAUGUCCUAUGCACUCAAUUGCUCACAGUCUCUCUCAAACCCAUCGAGACGUUUUGAGAUGCGCUCUGAUCUCCUCAGGCCAUCAGUCCUUCUUUAUAGAGCUAAAAAUCCACUCC
rnacentral:lncRNA from 1 species